rnacentral:miRNA from 1 species
AACCUCAUUGACUGGAAAGGAUUCCUUCUGGUCAAUGAGGCAUAGCUUCCUCAUUGAUCAGAAGGGAUUCCUUCCAGUCAAUGAGGAG